rnacentral:rRNA from 1 species
AUACGUAGGGGGCGAGCGUUGUCCGGAAUGAUUGGGCGUAAAGGGCGCGUAGGCGGCGCGGUAAGUCUGGAGUGAAAGUCCUGCUUUCAAGGUGGGAAUUGCUUUGGAUACUGCCGCGCUUGAGUGCAGGAGAGGUUAUCGGAAUUCCCGGUGUAGCGGUGAAAUGCGUAGAGAUCGGGAGGAACACCAGUGGCGAAGGCGGGUAACUGGACUGCAACUGACGCUGAGGCGCGAAAGUGUGGGGAGCAAACAGGAUUAGAUAUCCUGGUAGUCCACACUGUAAACGAUGAAUGCCAGGUGUAAGAGGUAUCGACCCCUUUUGUGCCGGAGUCAACACAAUAAGCAUUCCGCCUGGGGAGUACGGCCGCAAGGUUGAAACUCAAAUGAAUUGACGGGG